rnacentral:rRNA from 1 species
CGCCUGUUUAUUAAAAACAUAGUUUUUUAUAUUUAUUAAAAAAUAAAACCUGCCCAUUGAUUAUUUAUUUAAAGGCCGCAGUAUUUUGACUGUGCUAAGGUAGCAUAAUCAUUAGAUUUUUAAUUGGAAUCUUGUAUGAAAGGUUAAAUGAAAUAUUUACUUUUUUAUUUAAAUUUUUGAAUUUUAUUUUUUAGUUAAAAAGCUAAAAUAUUAUAAUAGGACGAGAAGACCCUAUAGAAUUUUAUAUAGUUUAUUUAAUUAUUUAUAUUUAUUAUUUUUAAUAAAUUUUAAAAUUUUAUUUUGUUGGGGCGAUAAUUAAAUUUAAUUAACUUUUUUUAUUUGUUUCAUUUAUAAAUGUUUUUUUGAUCUUUUUUUAUUGAUUAUAAAAUUAAAUUACCUUAGGGAUAACAGCAUAAUAUUGUUAAGAAGUUCUUAUUUUUAACAUUGUUUAUGACCUCGAUGUUGGAUUAAAU